rnacentral:rRNA from 1 species
GACGAACGCUGGCGGCGUGCUUAACACAUGCAAGUCGAACGGAAAGGCCCUGCUUUCGUGGGAUGCUCGAGUGGCGAACGGGUGAGUAACACGUGAGUAACCUGCCCUUGACUUUGGGAUAACUUCAGGAAACUGGGGCUAAUACCGGAUAGGCGCUCCUGCUGCAUGGUGGGGGUUGGAAAGUUUCGGCGGUUGGGGAUGGACUCGCGGCUUAUCAGCUUGUUGGUGGGGUAGUGGCUUACCAAGGCUUUGACGGGUAGCCGGCCUGAGAGGGUGACCGGCCACAUUGGGACUGAGAUACGGCCCAGACUCCUACGGGAGGCAGCAGUGGGGAAUAUUGCACAAUGGGCGGAAGCCUGAUGCAGGAACGCCGCGGGCGGGAUGACGGCCUUCGGGUGGUAAACCGCUUUCGCCUGUGACGAAGCGUGAGUGACGGUAAUGGGUAAAGAAGCACCGGCUAACUACGUG